CACCGCGGUUAUACGAGAGGCCCAAGUUGAUAGCCAACGGCGUAAAGAGUGGUUAAGGAGUACCUCUACUAAAGUCGAACGCCUUCAGAGCUGUUAUACGCUCCCGGAAGCAAGAAGCCCCACUACGAAAGUGACUUUAAAUUACCUGACUCCACGAAAGCUGUGAAA
rnacentral:rRNA from 1 species